rnacentral:ncRNA from 1 species
ACGAGCCACAUGCAGGGAAACUUGCACGUGUGGUUCUGGCCGAGGACCCCGAUAUACUGUACUAAAAUUACAUGUCUGUAAUUUUGAGUUGGGGGUAAAAUAUUAAUUUGUC